AUGUACUACCAAAAGGUGGUAGGUGCUGGGCAUGCAGGGAUGGACCUGAUUAUGUCAGAUGACAAUGUGGAGGAGAUGCUUGAUUUGUAUGCAGAGAAAAAAGUAGUGAACAUAACUGUGAUCAGUGCCAGCAAACCUGACUUGUUUGCAUUAAAAGACCUUAACAAAGGGGAUGUAUGUGAAGAUCAAGUGCCCAUUUCUGAGAUUGGUAAUCCAAUUGUUUAUGAGAUAAAUGAUGAUGGUGUGUUGUUUCAAUCACAAGGCAGUUCUGAAGCUAAUGCACAUGAGUGUACCCCAAUGCAGCUAGAUGACUCUCAAGCAGAGUAUCUGAUAACUCAGCAGAGUUGCAAUUUGCAGAAAGAGAAAGAGAAGGAGAUUGUCAUUGUAAAUGACAAUGUAGAUGACAUUCUCAAUGCAUUUUUGGAGCAAUAUGAUGAUCCUAUUGAUGAUGGACAACCUAUGGAAGAGGAAGCAACCAAUGCAGAACAACAAGAAGGACAAGAGAAUUAUGAGUUUGCAGAAGGAGAACAAUUUUAUGAUAGUUCAGAAGGAGAAUAA
rnacentral:rRNA from 1 species